rnacentral:misc_RNA from 1 species
AAAUUGUCUUAGUUCCGCGCUCGCAUCUUCACCGCGUCCCCGCCACUACUGCCAUCGCUGCCAUAUCAGUGUCGUUGCAGCCCGUAAACUGUUGCAAUAGGAAGCAAACAAAUAGUUGCAUGUAGGGAAAGGAAAACUAAGGGGGGGCACAACGUGUAAGCACUCCCGUUCUCCCACCCCUCACUCCUCGGCACAGCCCGUCACCUACCUAAGGACAGCUGGUUUCAUCUUUAGCGAUUGCCGAGCCCCCUUCUUCCCUAACCCACCCAAACUGCUCACUUACGACCAUCACGCACCCUAGCCUUCAUCGCUGUACAGAUUUUCGAUACACACGCAAGCCUUCUCGCACUAACCUCACUCAUACAAACCGCUGGAAAGGACGGUGUCACCACCGAGACAUCCACAGCAUCUUUUUGCACUUGAGCAUCACGGGCCGUUCCCCAUCCCCAUCUCCCUCUCCUCCCUUUCUAGUGUGUUCGUUGGGUGAUUCGGUGCCUCCCUCUCGAGACCCGCCACGCUUGUGCUCUGUGUUUCUUCUUUCGGUUUUUUUUUCGGGAGCAGUGCUGUGCUCCACUAGUCUCUCCCGUGGCGGUGUUACGCACACGCUGGGGAUCCUACGUGACCUCCACCCUCCCCGACCCCGCCCACAUAAACAUCCCCGCCAACACGGAAGGAAUCCUCAACGUUGCCUUCUCUUUCUUUUCUUCGUUCUUCCCUCUCCCCUCUCCCCCACUUCCGACCCCUUUACUUGUUCAAUAUACACACACGCAGGGGCUCACGCUGGCGCACUGCACUUCAUCGCUCUCCCCCUUCCAUAAACCUGCACACCCCAAACAGACAUACGCACACCCACAUUUGUAGACCUGUUUGCACCCAUCCGCGCUACCUCGGCCUCCCGCGGACGCUCCCCCUCCGCCCAUUCCAUCUAUUUCAUCGAUCGAUUUGUCGACUUGUUGAUUUGCUUCUUUGCCUCUUCCCAGCACCAGCACCGCCCGCACACGCACACCUUUUUUCCUCCCGCCAUCGCAGCCGUGCCACGAAUCGGUUGACUGGCUUGUGUUCCGUGUGUGUUCAGUGUGUGUGUGUGUGUGUGUGUGUGUGUGUGUGUGUGUACGCACCGUCGACUCUGAUCUUUGUCCUCCCUGCCCCCCUCCCCCGUCCCCUUUGGGCGUAGCUGAGUUUCGAAGGUCGCGGAAUCGUACAUUGCAGCUUAGUGCGCAACGCAAAGAUGCCGGCCACCAAGUCAUUAGCGGAGCUGCAGGCGGAGGUCUGCCGCCUGGAUGACCGCUACCUUCUGGAGCGCAUCAUCGGCGCCGGAUCCUAUGGCGUUGUGAUUCGCGCGCGUGACACCAAGAGCGACAACCGCCUUGUCGCCAUGAAGCGCGUGAACAAGGAAAUCUUUGAAGAAGUUAUUCUGGCGAAGCGCAUUCUGCGCGAGAUCAAGCUGCUGGCGCACUUCAAUGACGACAACAUCAUUGGCCUGCGCAACAUCCUCACCCCGGAGGACCCGGAAAACUUUGACCACUUCUACAUCGUAAUGGAUAUUAUGGAAACCGACCUGAAGCAGGUGCUGCGCAGUGGGCAGGAGCUGACGGAGGCGCACAUUCAGUUCUUCAUCUACCAGGCACUGCGUGCGCUGCACAUUAUUCACAGCGCCGGCGUUAUCCACCGCGAUAUUACGCCGGCGAACAUUCUGGUCAACACGAACUGCGACUUGAAGAUUUGUGACUUCGGCCUGGCGAAGGAGGAAAACGAUCAGGGAGAGUACAUGACGGACUACGUGACGAUGCGCUGGUACCGUGCGCCGGAAUUGGUGAUGGAGGACAAGGACUACUCAGCGCAGAUUGAUGUGUGGGGCAUCGGCUGCAUCCUCGGCGAGCUACUCGGCUCUCGGCCGCUCUUCCAGGGAAAGGACCGGGUGAACCAGCUGGACAAGAUAGUCGAUGUGAUCGGUACGCCAUCUGAAGAAGACAUCAACUCCGUAGGAUCGUCUGCUGCGCAGAAGUACCUCAAGAAGAAGAGUCACCGACCGCAAGCUGACUGGCGCCAGCGCUACCCGACGGCGUCUCCAGAGGCGCUCGACCUGCUGCGCCACAUGCUGGUCUUCAACCCGAAGCGGCGAAUCACGGUGCUGCAGGCGAUGCGUCACCCGUUCCUGGAGCAGCUGCACGAUGACGCGGAUGAUAACCUCAGCUACGCUCUCUUCCGCUUUGACGAGAACGAGCAGAAGACGAUAGUGGAUGUGAAGCGCGCCAUCUACGAGGAGAGUGUCAAGUUUCACAAUGAACAUCCAUCCUCGAUGCGGGCAACGACCAUGUACAGCGCCUUCAACACCCCCAGCGUGGCCGCACCGAGCGUGGCAACAGAGGGCGAGGGCCGCUCGGCGCAGCAGACGAUUGAGAAGAACAUUCCCGAGAACGUGGCAGACGGCAAUUUUGACCGCGAGCAAGUCUGAAACGACUGGCGGCACGUGUAAAGUACGGAGAGUGACGUGCAACACAAAGAGGGGCGAGAGGGUGCAAGUGGGAGACGCAGCGGAUGUCCAGGAGCAGAGGUGAAGGCGCCGCAGCAAGAGAGAGAGGGGGGAAUAAUGCAAGCUACCCUAUCUUGCAUAAUAAUGCUGUAACCACUUUUUGGCCUCUCUGGCAUCCUUCUUUGCAGUUUGCACUCCUCUGCCACUCUCAUGGUUGUCCUUGGCUGCACUCCUUGGCAUGCUCACGCAUACAUUCACGCCUAGGAGAGAAGUAGCGAAGAGAAGCGAGACAUGGACGGGAGACGCGGAAUGCUCUAUAAGACGAGAAAGAAGGGCGUAGCCCACAGACACGAACCUCCACAGAAAGAGCGAAGACACUUGAAGGCAUCACCUGCUUCUGUCGUGAAGGCCGCUAUAUAUAUAUAUAUAUAUGCUGUUUGCUGUAUGUUUUGACGGCGUUUCUGUUUGUAUUUAUGAGUGACGUCGUCCUCCACCCUCUCCCCCUCUCUCCUUCCCCCCCCCCGCGCAUCAUGAUAAAGUCACUUUGAAUUUUAUUUCCUCUAUAUAUACAUAUUUUUUUUUUCAGAAUUAUCAGCCCCUCUCCCGCAUGUUCUCUUGAAAACAUGAUGAAAGGUUGUAAACGCCUCUCACCGUGUCUUUAUGUUGCUCUCAACGCUGAUGGAGGUGUGUGCUCCCACACUCCAAAGGGAAGCAACCAAGAAACAGGAAGGUAAGGUAAGAAAGACAACGUGGGAUUGCUCCUGCUUCAAGUCACAUCCCCCGCCCUCCUCCACGCACAUGCACACACACGCACACAGCCUAUGAGAACGCGGAGCGUCCAGGAAGGUUGUGUGUAGCCGUCGUGUGUUUUACCAGAUUUGCUUCUGCCCCUUUGUCCGCAUCCCCCUCUUUUCGUAUCUGCCUCUCAUAUGGGCAUCACUGGACUCCACCUCUUUCUUUCCCUCACGCUCUCUCUUCGGUGGUAGUGUUGCGGUGUCUCUUUGCAUACGUUACUUUUCAAAUUCUUCUUGAAGGUCUCUCGCGGGGCACGCUUGUAUAUUUAUUCAUAUAUUUAUGUGUGUGUCUGUGUCUGUGUCUGCGGUGGUGAUAGUGUCUGCGCUUGUCCCCCUUUUUUGAGCGGCUUGUCGGUAUCUCCUCCGAAACUUUGUCUCUUCUCUCGGCUUACUCGCCCUCGUUUCCUCGUCUUGACAUUAUAUAUAUAUAUAUAUAUAUAUAUAUAUAUAUAUAUAUAUAUAUAUAUAUAUUAUUGCUUUUCUCUCUUCGCCUCUCCUCCACCCUUCUUUCAUCUCCCCUCCUCUACUCUUCUGUAUGCGUGCGUGCGUGUGUGUGUGUGUGUGUGUGUGUGUGUUCAACGAUCUGAAGGGAAGCAAAGUCCGACGUGGUGAGGAAGACACGAUUGUGCUCGGCGCUCGAUGCUUGGACUGAUCAUGCUUUUCUAAGGCGAUUACCGUUGAAGAAACACAGAUGAAGGGAACAAACAGAAGAACAAAAAGAAAACAAAGAAACGUGAACACGAAGAGUAAAAGUGUUGCUCACCCCCCACCCACACACAAAAAAGAAAAAACAAAGGCUCAUUACGCUGCUGCUAUUUUGUUUCACGUUUCCUCGUGCUUUUUUUUCCCGGCUGCUGCGUUGGGCUUGAUCAUCUAUUUACUCUCUUCUUUGCUUCUUCCUUGUUUGACGUGCGGCUCACUCUCGCUCUUUCUGUGUUGUUGUGGCUCAUGUUCAUCCGCAUGCACCAGCUUCUAUGACUGUGUGUGUGUGUGUGUGUCGAUGUGUUUGUGUACGUGGAUAGAGGGAGGCACGGAAGAGGGAGGAAGGUUUCUCUGCGCCUUUGAUGAUGCUGUAUCGUGUCUGUACCUCUCGUCAUCUGUUUCGCAAGAGUAUCCCUUGUCUCUUUUUUUUUGAUUCUCCUCCCCCCUCUACCUCGGCAAUUUUUCGUUCCUUCUAUGGUUUCACUGCUCACUGCUCGUGCAUGGCUCACGUUAGACGUAUAUGUUCUUGAGCUGGGUUGCGGGGUGGAGUCGGAUCAUGGGGUGUUAUACCGUUCUCUAAUUUUUCUUCGUCCUUUUGAGAGGGGCUGUACUCCUCCUACGAUAUAUAUAUAUAUAUGUAGCGAUAGACAUGCUGAGAGAUGUUUUUCCUUCGUUUUUUUUUUCGCACACCCUCCCCUCCCCUCUUCCUUUUCUUUUUGCCCUGUGUCUCUAUUCCAGUGGCGAUUUCGCUGAUUUCUUUGUCGUGCUGUUAUCUUCGUUCGACGUGUAGCCCUCUUCCCGUGUGGGUGAAGGGGGAGGGCGUUGUACCCAUGCGUUGCCGGUGUGUCCUUUCGCUCUCUGGUUUUCCAUCCUGCCGUUCCCCUGUCCUUUUUUUUUGUUGUUGUUGUUUUGCUUUCUGCGUUCGCAUAAGAAAGUGGUGUGUGGUAGUGCUGUUUCUUCAGGGGCCGCAUUUUCCUUCAUCACAUCUCCCCCCCUCCCCGCACGCCUGCAAUUCCCUCCCGCUCGCGUACUGCGGGCCUACCCCGACGUAGAAGCUUCAUUUGUUUUUGUUUUUUCCACUUCUUACUCUUCGUAGAAACAGAUCAGAGGAAAGGCAUGAGAGAGAGCAGAUGGGAGGGGAAGGGCAGUGAUGGUGGAGAGUGUUGGCGUGUGAGAAUGGGGGAGGCCAUGAAACGCAGCCGCGAUUGAGGCCUACGUACUUUAUUAUUGCUUCUUUUUUUGUGCUGGUCGUUUCCAUCUGCCUCUCUCUUACCGGCGACAGUCGACAUAUUCGUGAAGUCGUGUCUUCAAUCGGGAGAGCCGGGUUCAUCUGGCGCUGCAUGCGUCAAAGGUUGAUUUGUUUUUAUAUGUGCCCUGAUGACGGCGUAGCGCCUCAGCGUGCUCUUGGGAUCCAAUACUCGCUCUGUUGUGGGAGAAGCCAGGCCGCUCCUCUAUCCCCUGCCAAUGCCGAGCCACUGCUGGUCGUGGCAGGGCCAAGUGCUUACGAUGUGGGGAGGUCAGAGCGAUGUGCCACUACCGGUGUCGGCGGUGUGGUUCUGGAUAGCGUUGCAUCGGAGCGACCUGCAACAGCGAGCACGUUUGUACGAGUCCAUAUGGGCAAGGUAUCAUCAUGGCUGGAACUCAUCUCACCCGGCCCUCGCACUGCCCACUGGUGCGGAAAGCCGGGGCCACCCCGAGGGGGCAGCGCCAGGUGGCGAGCGGCAUGAUGGGAGGAGCAGUUGUGAGGCGACCCGUGAGGCGGGGGUAGGCAGAUUAUGAGGCCGAGGCCGUGCUGUUAUAGCUGAGCCUUCAUUGCUGUAACGCGUGUCUAUGGCUGCUUCGCAUCAGGCGAUGGGCCUCGUGGCAGGCCGAGGGUAGCGCAGCGUGUAAGUCAUUUUUGUAUGGCAAAGUGAAAAUUUGAAGAAAAGUUGUCGUGGCUGUGCACGAUUGGUGGUUCCUUCUUCUCUCUUUAUUCCGGCUCUCGCCGAAGAAACUUAACACCUGAAGAAAAGAGUUAGCAGGGACAAGUGUACGCAUAAAGGAGAGGAAUGACGACCAACUCGGUGGCCUCCACUUCCACGGCAGUAGUGCCCGGAGCCUACGUGGGUUGCCCUAACGACGUGUGUUCGUGCUCCCUCUCCCUCCCUCUCUCGCAGCCCUUCGUGGGCUGUUGAUCGCAGCCUAGAGUAAGGUCUGCUCCAUGCUAGGGGCUGUCACACGUUGAUGAGGUGGGGCUUGUGCACCUGCCAGCGUGUGCGUGUGUGUGUGUGUGUGUCUCUCUCCCUCUCUGCACCUCGAAGGCGAAUGGGCUCGCGCGUCCUCAAACCAUUGUUUACACAUGCAUACAACCCUACUGCAUCCACCUUGACCUCUACCUCCUUCGCUCCCUGCAUUCUCUCUCCUCCUUCGUGGUGUCUCGCAUAUUUUGUUUUCGCUGCCUUUGUGUUGUUAUUUGAAACCGGUGGAUGUAUGUAUGCUUCUGCGCUUUCCUGUUCCCGCUGUCGCUACGCGUGACCUCCACGCUUUCUAAAUGGAUCGCGCUAG